rnacentral:rRNA from 1 species
AAAUUGAAGAGUUUGAUCAUGGCUCAGAUUGAACGCUGGCGGCAGGCCUAACACAUGCAAGUCGAGCGGAAACGAGUUAUCUGAACCUUCGGGGAAGGAUAACGGCGUCGAGCGGCGGACGGGUGAGUAAUGCCUAGGAAAUUGCCCUGAUGUGGGGGAUAACCAUUGGAAACGAUGGCUAAUACCGCAUGAUGCCUACGGGCCAAAGAGGGGGACCUUCGGGCCUCUCGCGUCAGGAUAUGCCUAGGUGGGAUUAGCUAGUUGGUGAGGUAAGGGCUCACCAAGGCGACGAUCCCUAGCUGGUCUGAGAGGAUGAUCAGCCACACUGGAACUGAGACACGGUCCAGACUCCUACGGGAGGCAGCAGUGGGGAAUAUUGCACAAUGGGCGCAAGCCUGAUGCAGCCAUGCCGCGUGUGUGAAGAAGGCCUUCGGGUUGUAAAGCACUUUCAGUCGUGAGGAAGGUAGUGUAGUUAAUAGCUGCAUUAUUUGACGUUAGCGACAGAAGAAGCACCGGCUAACUCCGUGCCAGCAGCCGCGGUAAUACGGAGGGUGCGAGCGUUAAUCGGAAUUACUGGGCGUAAAGCGCAUGCAGGUGGUUUGUUAAGUCAGAUGUGAAAGCCCGGGGCUCAACCUCGGAAUUGCAUUUGAAACUGGCAGACUAGAGUACUGUAGAGGGGGGUAGGAAUUUCAGGUGUAGCGGUGAAAUGCGUAGAGAUCUGAAGGAAUACCGGUGGCGAAGGCGGCCCCCUGGACAGAUACUGACACUCAGAUGCGAAAGCGUGGGGAGCAAACAGGAUUAGAUACCCUGGUAGUCCACGCCGUAAACGAUGUCUACUUGGAGGUUGUGGCCUUGAGCCGUGGCUUUCGGAGCUAACGCGUUAAGUAGACCGCCUGGGGAGUACGGUCGCAAGAUUAAAACUCAAAUGAAUUGACGGGGGCCCGCACAAGCGGUGGAGCAUGUGGUUUAAUUCGAUGCAACGCGAAGAACCUUACCUACUCUUGACAUCCAGAGAACUUUCCAGAGAUGGAUUGGUGCCUUCGGGAACUCUGAGACAGGUGCUGCAUGGCUGUCGUCAGCUCGUGUUGUGAAAUGUUGGGUUAAGUCCCGCAACGAGCGCAACCCUUAUCCUUGUUUGCCAGCGAGUAAUGUCGGGAACUCCAGGGAGACUGCCGGUGAUAAACCGGAGGAAGGUGGGGGACGACGUCAAGUCAUCAUGGCCCUUACGAGUAGGGCUACACACGUGCUACAAUGGCGCAUACAGAGGGCGGCCAACUUGCGAAAGUGAGCGAAUCCCAAAAAGUGCGUCGUAGUCCGGAUUGGAGUCUGCAACUCGACUCCAUGAAGUCGGAAUCGCUAGUAAUCGUGGAUCAGAAUGCCACGGUGAAUACGUUCCCGGGCCUUGUACACACCGCCCGUCACACCAUGGGAGUGGGCUGCAAAAGAAGUAGGUAGUUUAACCUUCGGGGGGACGCUUACCACUUUGUGGUUCAUGACUGGGGUGAAGUCGUAACAAGGUAGCGCUAGGGGAACCUGGCGCUGGAUCACCUCCUUAAACGAUGAU